CCUUGACUGUUAGCUAUAUUGAGAAUCUAACCGAGCAAACUGAGGUCGUUAAAUGCUUGGAGCUUGCACGAGGAAGGAGUCGUUGUGGGAUACGGACUGUCAUGUUCCGUAAUAAACACUUAAUCCUUAUGACUUAUUAAAUCUACGUUUUGGACUUCAAACUUAUGGACUACGAACUUAUAUUUUGGUAUCACGUAUUAUGCUUCCGCUGUUUAAUUUAAAACUUGGUUAACUGGCUUUUGGUCACCAA